rnacentral:rRNA from 1 species
CCUACGGGCGGCAGCAGUGAGGGAUAUUGGUCAAUGGGCGAAACCCUGAACCAGCAACGCCGCGUGAGGGAAGACGGUUUUCGGAUUGUAAACCUCUGUCCUCUGUGAAGAUAGGGACGGUAGCAGAGGAGGAAGCUCCGGCUAACUACUUGCCAGCAGCCGCGGGAAUACUUAGGGCGCGAGCGUUGUUCGGAUUUACUGGGUGGAGAGGGAGCGUAGGCGGCUUGGCAAGUCAGAAGUGAAAUCCGCGCGCUUAACCCAGGAACUGCUUUUGACACUGCAGAGCUUGAGUGGAGGAGAGGUAGGUGGAAUUCCCGGUGUAGGGGUGAAAUGCGUAGAGAUCUGGAGGAACACCAGUGGCGAAGGCGGCCUUCUGGCACCUAACUGACGCUGAGGCACGAAAGCGUGGGUAGCAAACAGGAUUAAAUACCCCGGUAGUC